rnacentral:rRNA from 1 species
UACGGAGGGUGCUAGCGUUGUCCGGAUUUAUUGGGUUUAAAGGGUGCGUAGGUGGCUUGUUAAGUCCGGGGUGAAAGCCCACAGCUCAACUGUGGAACUGCCCUGGAUACUGGCGAGCUUGAGUCCAGACGAGGUUGGCGGAAUGGAAGCUGUAGCGGUGAAAUGCAUAGAUAGCUUCCAGAACCCCGAUUGCGUAGGCAGCUGACUAGGCUGGUACUGACACUGAGGCACGAAAGCGUGGGGAGCGAACAGG